rnacentral:tRNA from 1 species
AGAAAAGUAAGCUAUUUUAAGCUAAGGGGUUCAUAACUCCUUGAAACUUUAGUCUUUUCUU